GAAAUGCGAUAAUUAAUGUGAAUUGCAGAAUUCAGUGAAUCAUCGAGUCUUUGAACGCACAUUGCGCCCCCUGGUAUUCCGGGGGGCAUGCCUGUCCGAGCGUCAUUGCUGCCCUCAAGCACGGCUUGUGUGUAGGGCUUCCGUCCCUGGCAACGGGGACGGGCCCAAAAGGCAGUGGCGGCACCAUGUCUGGUCCUCGAGCGUAUGGGGCUUUGUCACCCGCUCCCGUAGGUCCAGCUGGCAGCUAGCCUCGCAACCAAUCUUUUUAACCAGGUUGACCUCGGAUCAGGUAGGGAUACCCGCUGAACUUAAGC
rnacentral:misc_RNA from 1 species